rnacentral:rRNA from 1 species
UGAGGAAUAUUGGUCAAUGGUCGGGAGACUGAACCAGCCAAGCCGCGUGAGGGAUGAAGGUGCUAAGCAUUGUAAACCUCUUUUUGUCAGGGAACAAAGGCUCCACGAGUGGGUGUGUGAGUGUACCUGAAGAAAAAGCAUCGGCUAACUCCGUGCCAGCAGCCGCGGUAAUACGGAGGAUGCGAGCGUUAUCCGGAUUUAUUGGGUUUAAAGGGUGCGUAGGCGGCCUGUUAAGUCAGCGGUAAAAGCCCGGGGCUCAACCCCGGCGAGCCGUUGAAACUGGCUGGCUGGAGUUGGCGAGAGGUAUGCGGAAUGCGCGGUGUAGCGGUGAAAUGCUUAGAUAUCGCGCAGAACUCCGAUUGCGAAGGCAGCAUGCCGGCGCCACACUGACGCUGAGGCACGAAAGCGUGGGGAUCAAACAGGAUUAGAUACC